rnacentral:lncRNA from 1 species
UCCGCCGACUUCCGGAAUCGAUCCGCCGACUUCCGGCCUUGCCUCUUGGCGCCCAGCGGUUCGCAACCGCCGCCCCCGGCGCUGGCAGUCAGAGGCGGACACGGGAGCUGCCGGCUCCAGGCUUUAUUGGCGCGAUCGGGGCCCGCCGCCUCGCCCCGCCCCGCCCGGCUCCGCCCCCGCCGCGCCUCAGGCGAUGAUCUCGGACUCGUGCCGGGCCAGCGCCGGCGGCAGCGUGGUCCCGCAGGGGCCCUCGAAGUGGAACCUGGAAGGAGAGAGCGUGUGAAGGGCGGCGAGCGGCGGUGGGAGGGGAGGGGACGGGACGGGACGGGACAAAUAUAGUAGGGGAGGUUCACUUUGUCUCUAGGCAGUGUAACCGUUCAGAACAGGACGACGAGGGCGGAGGGGGUCAGACUGGCGAGCAGCUUUACCUGAACCUGUCUGUAGCGGGAGUAGCUUCCAUGUUGAAUUCUGCCACCGGCACUCCUCUGGCGGACACCUGGGGGGCAAACAUGGCGGCGGGGUACACCACGGAGGAGGUUCCCACCUGCAAAGCCAGCGGCAAACGUUAAAGCAGGUAAAGACCUGACAGAAAGGAGAAUACACAAGGCAAGGCAAACAUCCUCACCACCAAGCAGAGGUCGCAUAGGUCGAGUUCCUUCUCCACCUCUGUGAGAACAUCUGGAUCCAGGGUUUCACCAAACCACACGACGUGGGGACGAAGAAGGCCAUGACAGCCGUCUUCCUCGCACCUAUUGAACAAUUCCAGAGGUACAGCAUUAUAUCUCUGACAUGAACACCUCCACCUGCACAGUGGCAAAACGGCUCUCAUUUAGGAUUGGACAAGGCUUCCUUCCCUCUCUCACUGCUCACAUUCACAGCACUCCUCAUGCUCUCCUGAGCACAGGUUGUUGAACAGUCAUUCAAUUUAGAGACUUAAGUGCUGUGUCUUACUCAGCUCCUGAAAUGCGUGAAACUCCCAAGAAUUUGAUAUGUGCUACAAUCUCCACCAACUUGAACAGAAACAGUCCAGCAAGCUCUUAAGAAGAGAGUGGGCCAGGCAGAAGCAUCACAGCAGCCCCAUUUCCUUAGGAAGGAGAUAAAAAAUGUAGUAGUUCCUUGCACCCGCAGCUAGCCAAGGUAAAGCUUUAGCCACUACAAAAAGCGCCCUGGCUUAUUUAGAGCCUGCAGAGGACCACUCCAUGGCUGCACACCAGCACCCUAGCACAUGCUGACCAACAGCAGAAAAGCAGAACCUGCAAAGUAGCAGCUUACUGUGCAGCAGUUUCUUAGUGCAAUUCUACUGCUCACUACCCAAUCCACAGACUUUGGCAUGUUUUGAGUUUGAUGCUCGAGUACACAAACAUGCAAUUCCUUUAGCACUAUGAUAAACUUGUACACACUCCCACUGUCUGGUGCCUCCCAAGCACUAGGUUUAGAUAUCAACUCUCUUCCCAGGUGUUCAACUCCUGUUGAAUGUAUAUGUGUCCUUCCAAAACUAUAGGAACAGUAAUGAAAGAAUUGAGAUAUAAGAAAUUUUAAAACGCUAGCAGCAAAAAAAAUAAAUAAGUGGAUACAUACUGAGGAAGUUCUUCAACAGGAAUUGCAGCAUCUUCUAUUUCUGGAUCUGGAGCCCCUUUCCCAGCCAACGCUGGGCAGAUCGGACUCUUGUAAUUUGCAGUCACGUUUCCACAGUUGGUGCAUCGAGUUUUAAAUAAGCUUCCGUGAAUUUCCAGGAGGUGCUUUGUGCCUGCCUUCCUGUGCAGCUCAUCGAUGUUCUGGGUGAUGACCACCACGCUCCUGCCUUGUUUUCUCAGUCGCUUUUCACACUCAGCAAUGGCGAUAUGUGCAGCGUUGGGAUGUUUACUCAGCAUGACCUCGCGGCGGUAAUGAUAGAAUUCCCACACGCGGGAGGGGUUGCGUGCAAACGCCCCGGGAGUGGCCAACUCCUGAAAGAGAUGCAACGCUUCAUUCUGCUGACAGAAGUGCGGGAGAAUCCCUUUUUCAGGUGAGGGCCAACAGCACACUGCCAGUCUGACAACAGGAUAACCGAAAGCAGAUUAUUACAGCCAGAUGCAGCUGACAGGAACAGUGCUCAGUAGCCCAUCUCUUAUGAGAAUGACAGCUCAAAAUGGCUUAUGGAAUGAGGAGAUAGCUUCUAUCAGUGAAAUGAUACCUGCUUCAUUCCGUGCUGCCCUACCAAAUCAGCAGAAGUUCAGUGCAGUACAAAGGAAAAUGAGAUGUUUCAAUACGUGCAAUUUUUAGCAUUCAGAACUCAUUUACAGAGCAGCCAUAAAACUCAGCAGUGUGUGGAUGUUUUUCCUUUGCAAGCAGUUUCUUACCUGACUUAGUUUAAGCAUAACGCUAACCAAGCCAUGUCAAAACCAAAGCCUAAUGUCACCUUUAUACAUCAUCCUAAAGAACAACAAAAACAUGAAGAGAGCAGAUAGGGCUGCAGUGUUUGGGUAAGAGUUACUGAUGGUGACCUUGAAAUGUGUAGUACCAGAGUCUCGAGGCACCUGUACUGCUGUAUUUUAUUGCUUGCUGCUGCACCACUGCACACCUCAGAAACCAGGAUUAAAAGAAAACCAGGUGCUAUCUUUGCAACUGUCCUUUAUUAUUUUUAUAACAUUUUCCUAAGAGUUUAAAACAGGAAAGGGAUACAAAACCAGUGAGGGUGUCCAAAGAAGAGCAAGCAGCUAGGCGACCGGGCAGCAGAGUGGCACAGUAGAAAGACAGAUCUGUCUGCAUACACAUCAGCUUUCUGAAGCGGCUGAUCAACCCAACGACAGAAAACUACUCCCAGCUUCUUCUGACUCUUUGCACGCACAUCCCUGGCUGACAGAAGAGCACAGCUGUGCAGACACAUGCCAUGGGUACGUACCUGGGCUUGCCACUUUCUCCAGAAACCUCCGGCCCCUCUGAAGGUCGGAACGCCACUCUCGGCGCUCACACCGGCUCCGGUAAUGAUGGCGAUAUGCUUUGCUUUGGCAAACACUUCUCGGAAAUCAGCCAUAUUCGAACUCGGCCGAGCCAUUUCCCAGCACCAGUUCGGUUUCUUUGGAGCAGGUUUCAGAGCACCGUGCACCUGGGCGAGCAGCCUCCGGGCGGCACACUGAGCGAGACACAUCAGCACCGCUACGAUGCGCUGGCCUGAGGGCAGGCGGAGCGCGGGCCGCUCCUCCGCGCCGCUGAGCCCCGCCGUGCGGCGCCGCACGUCCCCGGCCCGGCCCGGCCCACCUUCAGCCCCACGGCACCGAGGAGCCCCGCC